UGUACAGAUUGCUAUUGGCAG
rnacentral:misc_RNA from 1 species